rnacentral:tRNA from 1 species
GCCGCAAUGGUGUAGCCUGGUUAGCACGGGAGCCUGUGGAGCUCCUAGGUUGGGUUCAAAUCCCAAUUGCGGCC